rfam:Trichobilharzia regenti genome assembly, scaffold: TRE_scaffold0007952
GUACAGUUGAUGAGUCCCAAACUCGGACGAAACAGCUGUCCAGUAC